GGAGCUGCAUUAGGACUGCGCGGGGGCACGGUUCUGGUCCGGACCUGCGCAUUGCGAUCCAGUGGGCCUGCUCUAUGCUUACCAGGACCGACUCCAACUCCAACGCCAGCAAGUUCAGGAGCGACCCCUGCAAAACGCCGACAAGGUCCUCGCCUUCCUUGUGUUCUGGGAGACCCCCGAUCCCGUUCAAUGUUAUUUGCCCUCCAUGGUGAACAGCCACCAAUUCAGGACUGGAUCUGUCGCAGGAUGCUGUGCAGCUCACACCCACUACAAGUCCAUCAUACACGCUGCUAUACAACAGAUUUGUCAGCAAAGGUGAUGCCCCUACAAUAAGGAGGAAAGUGGCAGCAUGGAUACGAAGAUGGCCAAGUGACAGGAGACAUAGAACAAUGGUGAAUGGUUGCCCUCCUGACAAGACAGAGCAGGUGAGAAAAGUGGCUGAUGUCCUAACUCGGUAAAUAGGACAACCUGCUCUGUGAGUGAGGAGGUGACCCCAAAAUCUGGGACCAAUUGGAUGUGCAGUUUGGACAAAGGUAGGCUCUGAAAGUGAUCCCCCAGCCCUUGCAUGAUGGCUACCUCCAAGAAUUGGGGACUUUGGUUGUUACCUUUGGAGAAGAAGAGGGUGAGAAGAGAUUGGAUCGAGGUGUUCAAACCACGAUGAGCCCAGUCAGAGAGAAGCUGCUCUCAUUGAUGGAAGAGUUGAGAACUGGCAAAAGAAUGAAAGGCAACACGUGGAAAAACUGGUCAGAAUCAGCAAUGUUUUACCUGAAAGUGUGAUGGAAGCAGAUUCAGUCUUGGCUUUCAAAAGAGAAUUGGAUGAGCAGCUAAUUGGUAAAACCAAAUUUCAGGACUACUGUGAAGAAUAAGCAAAUGGGAUUGGCCAAAGUACUCUUGCUGAUCAGGAGGCUGUAUUUGAAGGGCCGAAUGGCCUGUUUCCCUGCGGUGUACACACUAUGAUUUCAUCAGGAGCCAUGCUAUUCCUCUUCAUUCCCUGUGAAGCUUUUGUAUUUCUCUUUAAUUAUAAGUUUCCCCCCUGGCCCGUGGUGUAGCACCAGCCAAGGGAAGAAAAACUUGCUGGACUUCCUCAGACCGGUUCUCUCUUGAUGUAUUUUUCAUAUUGGCAGGCAGGAUAACACCAACUGUUCCAUUGAGCUUACCCCACACCUCUUGAUGGUUAGACAUUAUGGAUGAACGCUCCCUAUCAUUCUAUUGGUUCGCACUACCCCACCUCCAACUCUCCCUGUGCCACCACUACUGUAUAAUCUACUGAUACAGCAAAGAAAAGAGAAAUACCUCAGACUCAGACUCAAUAAUGGACAAAAUACCCUGGAAAAUUCCGCUCUUUUCCAUUACCCCCAACCACUCAUGGAAUCCUUACACUUUACAAGCAGGCCAUUUGACUCAUUGAGCACAUACUGACCCUCCGCAGAGCAUCCCACCCAGACUCACCCCGCCCCCCCCACAGUCAAUCAAAAUUAAACCAGAAUAUCACAAGGACUUGAUGUUAGCUAUAAGGUCUUUUGUAUGAUUUGAUCUCUGAACCAAUGAUUCCUACUCCCUCUUGAAGCAGUACAAAGAAUAAGCACCUUUACUGAACUGGCAGGCAAUAUGUUCCAGAGAUUCAAGACCCUCUACAGGUAGACGUUCAACCUAACAUUCUUCUUAUACACUGUUUAAACGUGAGACAGAAGGAAAAUAAAACAGCAAAUGUGCAAAUGACAUACCCCGGUCUG